rnacentral:rRNA from 1 species
GACGAACGCUGGCGGCGUGCUUAACACAUGCAAGUCGAACGGACCGAGUUGAUAGCUUGCUAUUGAUGAGGUUAGUGGCAAACGGGUGAGUAACGCGUAGGCAACCUGCCCUUCAGAUGGGGACAACACCUCGAAAGGGGUGCUAAUACCGAAUGACGUUUCCUGGUCGCAUGACCUGGAAACCAAAGGCCGGGCAACCGGUCACUGAAGGAUGGGCCUGCGUCUGAUUAGCUAGUUGUGGGGUAACGGCCACCAAGGCGACGAUCAGUAGCCGGUCUGAGAGGAUGAACGGCCACAUUGGGACUGAGACACGGCCCAAACUCCUACGGGAGGCAGCAGUGGGGAAUAUUGGACAAUGGGGGAAACCCUGAUCCAGCGACGCGCGUGAGUGAAGAAGUAUUUCGGUAUGUAAAGCUCUAUCAGCAGGGAAGAUAAUGACGGUACCUGACUAAGAAGCACCGGCUAAAUACGUGCCAGCAG